CCCGACUGUGGUGAUGGCAGAUUUAUUAGAAUGACAGAUGUGGGAAGUGAGCUAGUGCGGAUGAAGGAGCCUGACACACUGGUCCCCACUGCUUGGAGGAGAAGAGGAGCAGGAAGGAGAGGAAAAACCCUGCUCUCUGAAAUCUCUCAUUUUGCAGCUUUGCCCUGUGAACUGGAGCCAUGCAGCUGCUCAGCCCAUCUCUCACCCCAGCCACAGGUACCCUUGUGCUGUCUUUAGUGGUGCCCUGCAGCAGAAAGCAGCAGUUCAGGCCUGGCUGAUCCUGCUCACCCCGUAUAUCUGAGGUUCAAGUGAUUUUUAUUUUCUCUCAGCCCUUGUCAGCAG
rnacentral:lncRNA from 1 species